rnacentral:rRNA from 1 species
AUUGAACGCUGGCGGCAUGCUUUACACAUGCAAGUCGAACGGCAGCGCGGGCUUCGGCCUGGCGGCGAGUGGCGAACGGGUGAGUAAUACAUCGGAACGUGCCCAGUAGUGGGGGAUAGCUCGGCGAAAGCCGGAUUAAUACCGCAUACGACCUGAGGGUGAAAGCGGGGGAUCUUCGGACCUCGCGCUAUUGGAGCGGCCGAUGGCAGAUUAGCUAGUUGGUGGGGUAAAGGCCUACCAAGGCGACGAUCUGUAGCUGGUCUGAGAGGACGACCAGCCACACUGGGACUGAGACACGGCCCAGACUCCUACGGGAGGCAGCAGUGGGGAAUUUUGGACAAUGGGCGAAAGCCUGAUCCAGCAAUGCCGCGUGUGUGAUGAAGGCCUUCGGGUUGUAAAGCACUUUUGGCGGGAACGAAAAGGACUGUGCCAAUACCACGGUUCGAUGACGGUACCCGCAUAAUAAGCACCGGCUAACUACGUG